AUAUCUCUCUGUACGGGAAGGAUGAGAAGCUUCGACUAAGGUUCGAUUCGAGCGCAGCGAGAAAGCGUUGCCGCAGGCAACGGCCCGAAGGGCGAAGCGCGCAGCGCUGAGUCAUCCUUCCCCCACCACCA
rnacentral:sRNA from 4 species